rnacentral:piRNA from 1 species
UAACUACUCUAGGGUAGCCAUCACUGGGA